rfam:TPA: Bos taurus chromosome 14, whole genome shotgun sequence.
UCCCUGGUGGCUGAGCUGGUAAAGAAUCCGCCUGCAACGUGGGAGACCCUGGUUUGAUUCCUGGGUUGGGAA